GGUUUGAUCAUGGCUCAGAUUGAACGCUGGCGGGAUGGCUUUACACAUGCAAGUCGAACGGCAGCACGGACUUCGGUCUGGUGGCGAGUGGCGAACGGGUGAAGGUAAUGUAUCAGAACGUGCCUAGUAGCGGGGGAUAACUACGCGAAAGCGUAGCUAAUACCGCAUACGCCCUUCCGGGGAAAGCGGGGACCUUCGGGCCUCGCACUAUUUAGAGCGGCCGAUAUCGGAUUAGCUAGUUGAGGUGGGGUAACGCGGCUCACCAAGGCGACGAUCCGUAGCUGGUUUUGAGAGGACGACCAGCCACACUGGGACUGAGACACGGCCCAGACUCCUACGGGAGGCAGCAGUGGGGAAUUUUGGACAAUGGGGAAACCCUGAUCCAGCCAUCCGCGUGUGCGUGAGGCGCUCCGGAGUUUAGCAAAGCACUUUUGGCGGAAAACGGCGCGGGAUAAUACCCCCGUGCAACUGACAGUACCUGCAGAAUAAGCACCGGCUAACUGUAUGCCACAGCAGCCGCGGUAAUACGUAGGGUGCAAGCGUUAAUCGGAAUUGCUGGGCGUAAAGCGUGCGCGGGCGGUUCGGAAAGAAAGAUGUGAAAUCCCAGGCUUAACUUUGGAACUGCAUUUUUUAACUACCAAACUGAGAGUGUGUCAGAGGGAGGUGGAAUUCCCGUGUAGCGGUGAAAUGCGUAGAUAUGCGGAGGAACACCGAUGGCGAAGGCGCAGCCUCCUGGGAUAACACUGACGCUCAUGCACGAAAGCAGAGCCGACAGGAUUAGAUACCUGGUAGUCCACGCCCUAAGCGAUGUCAACUAGCUGUUGGGGCCUUCAGACCUUGGCAACUAACGCGUGAAGUUGAUGCCUGGGAGUACGGUCGCAAGAUUAAAACUCAAAGGAAUUGACGGGGACCCGCACAAGCGGUGGAUGAUGUGGAUCCAAUUCGAUGCAACGCGAAAAACCUUACCUACCCUUGACAUGUCUGGAAUCGAAGAGAUUUGGGAGUGCUCGCAGAACCGGAACACAGGUGCUGCAUGGCUGUCGUCAGCUCGUGUCGUGAGAUGUUGGGUUCAAGUCCCGCAACAGGCGCAGCCCUUGUCAUUAGUUGCUGAAGGGCACGCUCUAAUGAGACGUGCCGGUGACAAACCGGAGGAAGAGGUGAGAUGACGUCGAAGUCCUCAUGGCCCUUAUGGGUAGGGCUUCACACGUCAUACAAUGGUCGGGACAGAGGGUCGCCAACCCGCGAGGGGAGCCAAUCCCGAAACGAUCGUAGUCCGGAUCGAUGCAACUCGACUGCGUGAAGUCGGAGAUCGCUGGUAAUCGCGGAUCAGCAUGUCGCGAACGAAUCGUUCCGGUGUACCGCACGCCCGUCACACCAUGGGAAUUGGGUUUUACCAGAAGUAGGAUUAGCCUAACCGUAAGGAGGCGAUUACCACGGUAGGAUUCAUGACUGGGGUGAAGUCGUAACAAGGUAG
rnacentral:rRNA from 1 species